AGAAAUCUCACCAGGCCCGGACACUGGAAGGAAUGACAGAUUGAUAGCUCUUCCUUGAUUCGGUGGGUGGUGGUGCAUGGCCGUUCUUAGUUGGUGGAGCGAUCUGUCUGGUUAAUUCCGAUAACGAACGAGACCCCAACCUGCUAACUAGCCCUCGGGUCCUGCUUCUGUUGGGCCCGACGGAAUGAUUCGCUUCUUAGAGGGACUCGCGGCGCCUAGCCGCACGAAGGGGGGCGAUAA
rnacentral:rRNA from 1 species